rnacentral:rRNA from 1 species
CAGUAGCCGCGGUAAAACAGAGGGUGCGAGCGUUAAUCGGAUUUACUGGGCGUAAAGCGUGCGUAGGCGGCUUCUUAAGUCGGAUGUGAAAUCCCUGAGCUUAACUUAGGAAUUGCAUUCGAUACUGGGAAGCUAGAGUAUGGGAGAGGAUGGUAGAAUUCCAGGUGUAGCGGUGAAAUGCGUAGAGAUCUGGAGGAAUACCGAUGGCGAAGGCAGCCAUCUGGCCUAAUACUGACGCUGAGGUACGAAAGCAUGGGGAGCAAACAGGAUUAGAUACCCCUGUAGUCCCUGUCUCUUAUAA